GCUUAGCAAAAACAGUGUUCCAGGCCAAAUGGGGAGACUUGCCGUGCCUAAUUGGGCCCUCAGACUGGAGGUUCCCCACUUCUAAUGAAUGAUCCGGUCAGUGGGUUUGCUUGCAUCAAUGCCCACCAAGGAAAGGGGGUCUUCUGCCAUGACUAUAAGGUGCGGUUCACCUGCCCAGAAUCCUUCUGUUCAGGAGGUGACCACAAAGAUCCUGGUGGGAUGAAGAGCUCACCAUGAACAUGUCACAGUCUCUGGCUAGCUAAAGUCUAGGGCUUCUGCCCUUCUCUGCAGAAGGAUGGUAUCUUCUCGUUUGCUAUUGCUGCCUGUGGCUCAUAUCUAAUGAUGCAAUAAAAGUUUGAA